UCCUGUGGCCAUACCACCCUAAAUGCCCCUAAUCUCAUCUGAUCUCAGAAGCUAAGCAGGAUUGGGCCUGAUUAGUACUUGGGAUGGGAGACUGCCUGGGAAUAUCAGGUGCUGUAGGCU
rnacentral:rRNA from 1 species